GGAUCAUUCCUUCGGGGAUGGCUUAGCGGCGGACGGGUGAGUAACACGUAGGCAACCUGCCUGCAAGAUCGGGAUAACAUUCGGAAACGAAUGCUAAUACCGGAUACACAAUUUCCUCGCAUGGGGAGAUUGGGAAAGACGGCGCAAGCUGUCACUUGCAGAUGGGCCUGCGGUGCAUUAGCUAGUUGGUGGGGUAAYGGCUCACCAAGGCGACGAUGCAUAGCCGACCUGAGAGGGUGAUCGGCCACACUGGGACUGAGACACGGCCCAGACUCCUACGGGAGGCAGCAGUAGGGAAUCUUCCGCAAUGGACGAAAGUCUGACGGAGCAACGCCGCGUGAGUGAUGAAGGUUUUCGGAUCGUAAAGCUCUGUUGCCAGGGAAGAACAGCCAGGCGAGUAAAUGCGCUUGGAAUGACGGU
rnacentral:rRNA from 1 species